rnacentral:rRNA from 1 species
AAAGUUUUCUUGCGGGAAGAUUUGAGCCGUUGGUGAGAUACCACUCUAACAAUGCUAGGAUUCUAACCCUAUGUCGUUAUCCGGCUAGGGGACAGUUUCAGGUGGUCAGUUUGACUGGGGCGGUCGCCUCCUAAAAGGUAACGGAGGCGUGCAAAGGUUCCCUCAGGCUGGUUGGAAAUCAGUCGUAGAGUGUAAAGGCAUAAGGGAGCUUGAUUGUGAGACAUACAAGUCGAACAAAGACGAAAGUCGGCCUUAGUGAUCCGGCGGUACCGAGUGGAAGGGCCGUCGCUCAACGGAUAAAAGUUACUCUAGGGAUAAC